CUAUUCGUUGUGUUGUAACAGAAACAG
rnacentral:tRNA from 3 species